rnacentral:rRNA from 1 species
CCUACGGGCGGCAGCAGUGGGGAAUAUUGGACAAUUGGGGGAACCCUGAUCCAGCCAUGCCGCGUGUGUGAAGAAGGCCCUCGGGUUGUAAAGCACUUUCAGUGAGGAAGAACGCCUGGUGGUUAAUACCCAUCAGGAAAGACAUCACUCACAGAAGAAGCACCGGCUAACUCCGUGCCAGCAGCCGCGGUAAUACGGAGGGUGCGAGCGUUAAUCGGAAUUACUGGGCGUAAAGCGCGCGUAGGUGGCUUGAUAAGCCGGUUGUGAAAGCCCCGGGCUCAACCUGGGAACGGCAUCCGGAACUGUCAAGCUAGAGUGCAGGAGAGGAAGGUAGAAUUCCCGGUGUAGCGGUGAAAUGCGUAGAGAUCGGGAGGAAUACCAGUGGCGAAGGCGGCCUUCUGGACUGACACUGACACUGAGGUGCGAAAGCGUGGGUAGCAAACAGGAUUAGAUACCCUGGUAGUC